UACGAAGGGGGCUAGCGUUGCUCGGAAUUAUUGGGCGUAAAGCGCACGUAGGCGGCUUAGCAAGUCGGAUGUGAAAGCCCUCGGCUCAACCAAGGAAGUGCAUCCGAAACUGCUGAGCUUGAGUACUUAAGAGGAUCGCGGAAUUCCGGUGUAGAGGUGAAAUUCGUAGAUAUUCGCAAGAACACCAGUGGCGAAGGCGGCUCACUGGCCCGUAACUGACGCUGAGGCACGAAAGCGUGGGGAGCAAACAGG
rnacentral:rRNA from 1 species